GGGGCUGUGGCGCAGUUGGGAGCGCGCGUGACUGGCAGUCACGAGGCCAGGGGUUCGAAUCCCCUCAGCUCCACCA
rnacentral:tRNA from 1 species